AAACGCUGAAGGCAUCUAAGCGUGAAGCCCCCCUUAAGAUGAGAUAUCCCAUUCGAAAGAAGUAAACCCCCUUGAAGACGACGAGGUAGAUAGGGCAGAGGUGGAAGUGUGGCAACACAUGGAGCUGACUGUUACUAAUCGGGUGAGGGCUUGACCAAG
rnacentral:rRNA from 4 species